GAGUUCUAAUUCAAUCUAUAGAAUUAACAAAACCUACGUAUUCUUUUUGUACUCUGUAUUUCUAGAAAUGUUGGAGGAGCUUCAAUGAGUGAGAAACUGUGAGUUACCUGCAAAAGAUAAAAGCAAAACAGAAUGCAUUGAUGAAGAUAAUUCAAUCAGCAUGCACAGCAUAGAAUUGUUAUAGAUUGGGUAACUUCAUCAAGACUUCUCCAUGACUGAAGGUGGUAGAUUCUCAAGGAUCUGGACCAAGAUAGGAUUACUGAAUAUCUCAAGAACAAUCAAGAAUGUAAGAAAAUAUCAUUGUCUGUUAAGACUCCAUCGCAGAGAAGUUAAAGAGCUUCAAUCACCAUGCUUUCAGGGUCAAUUUGUCUCCGAAAAGGAACAGAUGGGGAAGAAUUAUUCCAUUCACAGUUGACUUGUCAGAAAUUCUAAGAUCUUGGACUGGCUGAAAGCAAUGAUGUUGCCAUUCAUCCUUUCACGUAUUCAUUAUGGUCUACAGCUGAGAAGGGCUAUUUGGGGUUUGCUUUGCCUGAUGGUAGCAGAAGAAAACCAAGAGGCCUCUCUACGAAAGCUUGCAGUAAGGAGAAAGGUAAAAUGUUAAGUCUAAAGAGAACCAAAGAAAUUACCUGGUCCAACCUUUUCAUUCUACAAGUGGGAAAACUUGCUGAAAGUUGCUUAAUUUUUCUGGAUCUGAGGCACACAGUUCAUUUAUUAU
rnacentral:lncRNA from 1 species